GUCUUUGUAACCCCAAAUGGUCCGUGCUAUGCCCAGCAUUCUAUUUGUUGAAUUUAAAUGGUUUCCUCAUGGGGGGAGGGGAAGGAAUGGCUACAGCACACCCACUUACAUUAAUUAGACAGAGGGCAGGCCCCGACUGAAGAUGCUAUAUUCUUUUUUCUUUUUUUAACAUAAAAAAUCUUGAGCUCUAAAUUUUUCCUCUCUUUCCAGCUCUCCCCUGUUUAUUGUGAAGGCAAGCAAUAGGUUAGCAUUCAUACAUGUGAAAUCAUGCAGGAAUAUUUCCAUACUAGCCAUGUCUCAAAAAAAAAGCAAGAAAAAUAAAGUGAAAAAUUUAUACUUCAAUUUGCAGUUAGAGGUUCAUCAGUUCUCUCCUGGAGAUGGAUAGCAUUUUUCAUCCUGAGUCCUUUGGAAUUGUCUUGGAAAUUUGUAUUGAUCAGAGUAGCUACAUCUUCUACAAUUGAUCAACAUUACAAUAUUCAUCAUUACUGUGUACAGUGAUCUGGUUCUGCUCACUUUACUCUGCAUCAGUUCAUAUGGAUCUUCCCAGUUUUUUCUGACACCAUCCUCCUCAUCAUUUCUUAUAGCACAAUAAUACUCCAUCACAAUCAUACCACAAUUUGUUCACAUGCUGAUGUUUUCUUCUGCUUCCCAAAGGACUGGGGAGGGCGGAGUCUGGGAGCGGGUUCAACAGGAAACAGAGCUUUGGGAUCAGCCGAGGCCUGCAGCUAGAACUGAAGAGCAGGGAGCAAAGGAGGCCGCCCCCGCAGGGACCCAGCGGGGACUCGAUGUUCCCGGCUCCGACUCCGCCCCAGAGCAGCAACUAUGCCUAACUCCUAGCUCUUCCAUGCACUUGAAUACCAAUCUCCAGGCAUCUACACAAGUCAUACCAACCUUACAAUGUAAGUUCCUUGUCAAAAUCCUGUUCCUUAAAGGUUUUGCUCAGGAGUCAUUUCCUGUAAGACAACUUUCCUAAUUCCCCCUGAAGAAAGUGCUCUGUCCCUCCUCAAAUUCUCCUAGAGCUUUUGUCUAUCUCUCCUUUGCCACUCUCAGAAUACAGUCCUACUUAUCUGUGUACACAUUUCAUGCCCUACCGGCUCCUAGGAAACUACGAACUUCUUGAAGGUUGGGUCUGCGCUGAGCAAAAGGCCUUUUAUUUAGCCAGUGCUCAAUAGUCUGGUGAAGUGAAUUGACC
rnacentral:lncRNA from 1 species